AGCGUACACGGUGGAUGCCCUGGCAGUCAGAGGCGAUGAAGGACGUGCUAAUCUGCGAUAAGCGUCGGUAAGGUGAUAUGAACCGUUAUAACCGGCGAUUUCCGAAUGGGGAAACCCAGUGUGUUUCGACACACUAUCAUUAACUGAAUCCAUAGGUUAAUGAGGCGAACCGGGGGAACUGAAACAUCUAAGUACCCCGAGGAAAAGAAAUCAACCGAGAUUCCCCCAGUAGCGGCGAGCGAACGGGGAGCAGCCCAGAGCCUGAAUCAGUGUGUGUGUUAGUGGAAGCGUCUGGAAAGGCGCGCGAUACAGGGUGACAGCCCCGUACACAAAAAUGCACAUGCUGUGAGCUCGAUGAGUAGGGCGGGACACGUGGUAUCCUGUCUGAAUAUGGGGGGACCAUCCUCCAAGGCUAAAUACUCCUGACUGACCGAUAGUGAACCAGUACCGUGAGGGAAAGGCGAAAAGAACCCCGGCGAGGGGAGUGAAAAAGAACCUGAAACCGUGUACGUACAAGCAGUGGGAGCACGCUUAGGCGUGUGACUGCGUACCUUUUGUAUAAUGGGUCAGCGACUUAUAUUCUGUAGCAAGGUUAACCGAAUAGGGGAGCCGAAGGGAAACCGAGUCUUAACUGGGCGUUAAGUUGCAGGGUAUAGACCCGAAACCCGGUGAUCUAGCCAUGGGCAGGUUGAAGGUUGGGUAACACUAACUGGAGGACCGAACCGACUAAUGUUGAAAAAUUAGCGGAUGACUUGUGGCUGGGGGUGAAAGGCCAAUCAAACCGGGAGAUAGCUGGUUCUCCCCGAAAGCUAUUUAGGUAGCGCCUCGUGAAUUCAUCUCCGGGGGUAGAGCACUGUUUCGGCAAGGGGGUCAUCCCGACUUACCAACCCGAUGCAAACUGCGAAUACCGGAGAAUGUUAUCACGGGAGACACACGGCGGGUGCUAACGUCCGUCGUGAAGAGGGAAACAACCCAGACCGCCAGCUAAGGUCCCAAAGUCAUGGUUAAGUGGGAAACGAUGUGGGAAGGCCCAGACAGCCAGGAUGUUGGCUUAGAAGCAGCCAUCAUUUAAAGAAAGCGUAAUAGCUCACUGGUCGAGUCGGCCUGCGCGGAAGAUGUAACGGGGCUAAACCAUGCACCGAAGCUGCGGCAGCGACGCUGAUGCGUUGUUGGGUAGGGGAGCGUUCUGUAAGCCUGCGAAGGUGUGCUGUGAGGCAUGCUGGAGGUAUCAGAAGUGCGAAUGCUGACAUAAGUAACGAUAAAGCGGGUGAAAAGCCCGCUCGCCGGAAGACCAAGGGUUCCUGUCCAACGUUAAUCGGGGCAGGGUGAGUCGACCCCUAAGGCGAGGCCGAAAGGCGUAGUCGAUGGGAAACAGGUUAAUAUUCCUGUACUUGGUGUUACUGCGAAGGGGGGACGGAGAAGGCUAUGUUGGCCGGGCGACGGUUGUCCCGGUUUAAGCGUGUAGGCUGGUUUUCCAGGCAAAUCCGGAAAAUCAAGGCUGAGGCGUGAUGACGAGGCACUACGGUGCUGAAGCAACAAAUGCCCUGCUUCCAGGAAAAGCCUCUAAGCAUCAGGUAACAUCAAAUCGUACCCCAAACCGACACAGGUGGUCAGGUAGAGAAUACCAAGGCGCUUGAGAGAACUCGGGUGAAGGAACUAGGCAAAAUGGUGCCGUAACUUCGGGAGAAGGCACGCUGAUAUGUAGGUGAAGUCCCUCGCGGAUGGAGCUGAAAUCAGUCGAAGAUACCAGCUGGCUGCAACUGUUUAUUAAAAACACAGCACUGUGCAAACACGAAAGUGGACGUAUACGGUGUGACGCCUGCCCGGUGCCGGAAGGUUAAUUGAUGGGGUCAGCGCAAGCGAAGCUCUUGAUCGAAGCCCCGGUAAACGGCGGCCGUAACUAUAACGGUCCUAAGGUAGCGAAAUUCCUUGUCGGGUAAGUUCCGACCUGCACGAAUGGCGUAAUGAUGGCCAGGCUGUCUCCACCCGAGACUCAGUGAAAUUGAACUCGCUGUGAAGAUGCAGUGUACCCGCGGCAAGACGGAAAGACCCCGUGAACCUUUACUAUAGCUUGACACUGAACAUUGAGCCUUGAUGUGUAGGAUAGGUGGGAGGCUUAGAAGUGUGGACGCCAGUCUGCAUGGAGCCGACCUUGAAAUACCACCCUUUAAUGUUUGAUGUUCUAACGUUGACCCGUAAUCCGGGUUGCGGACAGUGUCUGGUGGGUAGUUUGACUGGGGCGGUCUCCUCCUAAAGAGUAACGGAGGAGCACGAAGGUUGGCUAAUCCUGGUCGGACAUCAGGAGGUUAGUGCAAUGGCAUAAGCCAGCUUGACUGCGAGCGUGACGGCGCGAGCAGGUGCGAAAGCAGGUCAUAGUGAUCCGGUGGUUCUGAAUGGAAGGGCCAUCGCUCAACGGAUAAAAGGUACUCCGGGGAUAACAGGCUGAUACCGCCCAAGAGUUCAUAUCGACGGCGGUGUUUGGCACCUCGAUGUCGGCUCAUCACAUCCUGGGGCUGAAGUAGGUCCCAAGGGUAUGGCUGUUCGCCAUUUAAAGUGGUACGCGAGCUGGGUUUAGAACGUCGUGAGACAGUUCGGUCCCUAUCUGCCGUGGGCGCUGGAGAACUGAGGGGGGCUGCUCCUAGUACGAGAGGACCGGAGUGGACGCAUCACUGGUGUUCGGGUUGUCAUGCCAAUGGCACUGCCCGGUAGCUAAAUGCGGAAGAGAUAAGUGCUGAAAGCAUCUAAGCACGAAACUUGCCCCGAGAUGAGUUCUCCCUGACUCCUUGA
rnacentral:rRNA from 1 species